CGCUAAUCAACAAACAUGGGACACAGUGGAUACAUGAGGGUAAAACCCCCAACAGCAACACCCCCGCAAUCCCAUUACCAGCAGCCUGUUAGCACGGGGAUAAAUGAUAGGAACUGAAAGCCACUUUCCCAGCAGUGCGCUGGCUUCUGCACGGCUCACAGAAAUAAAGCAGGGAGUUAUGCAUCCGAAUAUAGGCAAGGAACAGAUCACUGGAAUAAGACCUACUUUUUUAUGCAGUAACUUGUCAGCUUGUAGGUUUCUCCCACCAUCUUUCUACACCAAUGGGCCUCCACCAGCAGGUGGCGUGAUCACACCACGUGCCAUUCACAGUCCCAAUGCCCCUUACAGCAGAGGAGGCCUGUGUUCACACCAACAUGACAUUGCACAAGGAGGCGUGCAAGGAUGGACCGUGUGUGACCCAAAGCUGCUAUCUCCAACUAUCCUGACACAGUCACUGCUCUGGUGGUUUACGACGUUUCCAUUUCAGAGCCUUCUGCAAAUCAACUCGGUGGCACUUCUGGUUGUGAAAGGCCAAACGAGGAAGGAGGAAGAGAGCAGAGAACGGGUUAACUUGACACUUCAGCGAGCUCUGUCUGAAGAUAAGACGCUGGCCCUGGUCUAAGAUCAUGGGCUCGAUAAGAAGUUUACAGCUGCAUUCACAUUUAUCCAACUCCAGUCAGCCAUGAGAAAAGGAGAGCUGAGCUGAGCAGGGCUGCAGAGAUUGCAAAACGAGCAAGAUGGCGAAGGCCAACCGGGGGGGACGGGGGGAGAACAAAGUCUCUCAAGCCAGUGUUUUGGGAAAGCACAGCAAGCCGGUUUGGACUGGUACAAAGAGCACCAGCAGCAGAGGUUCCUGAAUGAAACACUCCCUAAAAAAACCCCAGGACUUAAAAACCUUCGAGAGCCAAAGCAAGUCGGAGAUUACAGCGAACCCUGGACAACUUGUGCACGGGACAAGAACUCUCGUCCACCCUUGCUACGUUAUACCCAGGCUUGGCCAGCCUCGGGUUGUGCAUGUGUGAGUAUGAAAGUGGGUUAGGGCUGGGGCACUAACGCUUUCUUUCUUCCUCUGAGUGACAUGGGAGCAUUCCCAGCGCUCACCACUGUUAUUUUAUUAAUAAAGCUUUAAAAU